UUCGCCAAAUGUCUGCAGAAGGUAUCGCCGAAAGAAUUUGCUGCAGGAGGAUGCCGUAAAUGUUUGUAAUGAGCCGAGCGACGUCCCGUCUCGAGAAGGAAGCGCAUGAAAUGGUGCCGUAGGACGCUGGAGAAGGGUGUAUGUACGUAUAGUAGUGUUUUGAUAGUGUUUUGAUAAUGUUUAUGAUUUGUGAGAAAUAAAG